CUCUGUGCACAGGGACCCGCCCAACAAAGGUCCCGCCCGCCGGGCCCACCCCCUUCCGGUCACGAGGCCGGAAGCGGAAGUGCCGGUCGCGGCUCACUUCCGGGCGGCGGCGGCGGCGGCUCGCAAGGGUAUCCCUAGUAUGACAGGUGCAGAGAUUCUGCCUGCUCUGUAACCAUGAAGGAGACGGACCGGGAGGCUGUUGCAACAGCUGUCCAGAGGGUUGCCGGGAUGCUCCAGCGCCCGGACCAGCUGGACAAAGUGGAGCAGUACCGCAGAAGAGAGGCCAGGAAGAAGGCCUCCGUGGAAGCCAGGCUGAAGGCCGCCAUCCAGUCGCAGCUGGACGGGGUGCGCACGGGCCUGAGCCAGCUCCACAGCGCCCUGAGCGACGUGGGCGCCAUCCAGCGGUCCCUGGCGGACGUCAGCAAGGACUGGAGGCAGAGCAUCAGCACCAUCGAGAGCCUGCGGGAUGUGAAGGAGGCGGUCGUGCGGCACAGCCAGCUCGCCGCAGCCGUGGAAAACCUCAAGAACAUUUUCUCAGUGCCUGAGAUCGUGCGGGAGACCCAGGACCUCAUAGAGCAAGGGGCGCUGCUGCAGGCUCACCGGAAGCUGAUGGACCUGGAGUGCUCCCGGGACGGGCUGAUGUGCGAGCAGUACCGCAUGGACAGCGGGAACACUCGCGACAUGACCCUCAUCCACAGCUACUUCGGGAGCACGCAGGGGCUCUCCGACGAGCUGGCCAAGCAGCUGUGGAUGGUGCUGCAGAGGUCGCUGGUCACCGUCCGCCGGGACCCCACUUUGCUGGUCUCCGUCGUCAGGAUCAUUGAAAGGGAAGAAAAAAUCGACAGGCGCAUACUCGACCGGAAAAAGCAAACGGGCUUCGUUCCUCCUGGGAGGCCCAAGAGCUGGAAGGAGAAGAUGUUUGCCGUCCUGGACAGGACGGUGACCACCAGGAUCGAAGGCACGCAGGCCGACACGAGGGAGUCCGACAGGAUGUGGCUUGUCCGCCACCUGGAGAUCAUCAGGAAGUACGUCCUGGACGACCUCAUCGUCGCCAAGAACCUGAUGGCCCAGUGUUUCCCUCCCCAUUACGACAUUUUCAGGAACCUCCUGCACAUGUACCACCAGGCUCUGAGCACGCGGAUGCAGGAGCUCGCGUCAGAGGACCUGGAGGCCAAUGAGAUCGUGAGCCUGUUGACCUGGGUCCUGAACACCUACACGAGCACAGAGAUGAUGGGGAACGCGGAGCUGGCCCCCGAAGUGGACGUCGGCCUGCUGGAGCCUCUGCUCUCUCCUAGCGUGGUCUCCGAGCUGCUCGACACGUACAUGUCCACUCUGACUUCGAACAUCAUCGGCUGGCUGCGGAAAGCCCUCGAAACGGACAAGAAGGACUGGGUGAAAGAGACGGAGCCUGAAGCCGACCAGGACGGCUACUACCAGACGACACUCCCCGCCAUUGUCUUCCAGAUGUUCGAACAGAACCUUCAAGUCGCUGCUCAGAUAAGUGAAGAUUUGAAAACAAAGGUACUGGUUUUGUGUCUGCAGCAGAUGAAUUCUUUCUUAAGUAGGUACAAGGAGGAGGCGCAGCUGUACAAGGAGGAGCACCUGCGGAACCGCCAGCAGCCGCACUGCUACGUGCAGUACAUGGUGGCCAUCAUCAACAACUGCCAGACCUUCAAGGAGUCCAUAGUCAGUUUAAAAAGAAAGUAUUUAAAACACGAAGCAGAAGAAGGCGCAGCUCUGAGCCAGCUGAGCAUGGACGGGGUCCUGGACGCCAUCGCCAAGGACGGCUGCAGCGGCUUGCUGGAGGAGGUCUUCCUGGACCUGGAGCAACAUCUCAAUGAGCUGAUGACAAAAAAGUGGCUGUUGGGAUCGAACGCCGUAGACAUCAUCUGUGUCACCGUGGAAGACUACUUCAAUGACUUUGCCAAAAUUAAAAAGCCAUAUAAAAAGGUUUUGGAAACGUAAGUGCUUUUGAUACAUGGCUCUCAGAUCCAGACGCUUCGUGAAACUCCAGUUGUCCCUGGAUGGGUCUCCAGGUCCCCCCAGGACUCUGUAUAUGGUUGUUUCAUUUAUGAACAAGGUCAUGUAUGGUUUCAUUUCUGGUCCUCGUACCUCUCGUGCCUUCGCUCUGUUUGCGCUGGCUCACUCACCCAGCAGGGGGCGCCUGUCUCAUUGGCAAGUUAAGGGAACUGUGAGCUCCCCAUCCAUCCAUUGUGUUGGUCCCUCACAGCCCCAGGGGGCUGCGGGCAUGAGGGCUCCGUGGGCCCAGCGCGGGCAGAUGGAGACUGUCUUGUUUCUUGUCCAGUUUCCGUUUCCACCUUCUACUUUUUUCAGGAUUCUUUGCUUUAACAGUUGGUGUCUGACGGGCCACUGUGUUUAGUCCUGGGGCGGGGGGCUGCUUGUCCAGCCCCUCCUGGCCUGGGUCUGGGCCGGCGCUCCUCCCAGGAGCUGGGCUUUUCUGCCUGAGCGGUGCGAGCAGUCAUGUGCUCUGCUGAAUCCCCCACCACUGGUGCUGUCCUGCUUUGUCUUAUUUGGGGCCCUUGGGGUCCCCCCACUUUGGUGCAGGGAGUGGGGCUUCCUGGUCUCCCCCAGGGGACAGGGCUGCAGUCACCUGGUCUCGUGGCUCUGAUGCUGUCACAUUCACGCGGUUGUGCUCGCGUGUUCGUGGGACCGUCUCCCCGAGGGUGGCCCAGAGGGAGCCAUGGCCUUCCCUGAAACUCGCCCAAAUGGGUGGACCUGGGGUUCCCCUUCCCCUGCCGCUCCUGUCCCACCAUUUGCAGAGACUUUAGCGCCGGCACGUUAGGAACCACGUGACCCGUUGGUUUUUCUUCUGCAAACGGGCCUUGUGGUUGUGGCCCCGGGUCUCCAGUUCUCCCACUGAAUUGGUGCCCCCCUGGGGCCCAGACGCUCAGAGACGCUCCUGGGACGGGCAGAGCGAGAAGCAGACCUCCAACCCGGGGAGGGGCGGGGGGCCGGCAGCCCUGGGACGGGUGUCUGUAGAACGGGUGAUGUGCUGGCGGGAAAGUCCGCUCCCGGGAUGCGAGGCUGUGGGCGGCGUCCCUAUGCGCGGUACCCCGCAGGCCUUCUAGAAUCGACGGCCGCUGCCCGAGUUGCCGACGGGAGUCCGUUCCAGCCGCAGUCACGUGAAGGCGACACGCGGGGGAACCGAGCACGGCCGUGGCUGCCUCACACCGAGUUUGCGACGGCGGCAGCCGCCUGCGGGCCUCCGCUCCUCCGCAGCGGGUGGCGGGGACCGGGGAGGCAGGGCGCCGGCACGGCCGGCCUCACGCGCCUUUCCCCGCAGCGGAUGACGGCCGAGGCGCACCGGCGCGUGGUGGUGGAGUACCUGCGGGCGGUCAUGCAGAAGCGCAUCUCCUUCCGCAGCGCCGAGGAGCGCAAGGAGGGCGCCGAGAGGAUGGUGCGCGAGGCGGAGCAGCUGCGCUUCCUCUUCCGGAAGCUGGCUUCUGGGUUCGGGGAGGAUAUGGACGGGUACUGUGACACCAUCGUCGCCGUGGCAGAGGUCAUUAAGCUCACGGACCCGUCUCUGCUCUACUUGGAGGUCUCCACACUGGUCAGCAAAUACCCAGAUAUCAGGGACGACCACAUUGGCGCGCUGCUGGCCAUGCGGGGGGACGCCACCCGAGACAUGAGGCAGACCAUCAUCGAGACGCUGGAGCAGGGCCCGGCCCAGGCCAGCCCGGAUCACGUGCCUAUCUUCAGGGACAUCGUGGUUCCCAGCCUGAACGUGGCCAAGCUCCUCAAGUAGUGGCCGGGACCCCACUGUCCAUCUCAGCCGCAUGCACCAUCUCGGGCAGCCUGUAAGGAGGCCUCUGUUCCUGGGCGCUCCUGAGACGCUGCUGCUCAAUAAAGAGUGAACUUCUGCAGGAAGUGCCCACUCGUGAGGGUUUCAUGCCACACGUGACCUCAGGGUCACCUUCCCGCCUGGACACAGGGCCCCCACAUGCCAAGUGCCCCUUGUCUCGAGUUACAGCUCCUCAUUUGCUGUCCCCCUCCACCCACCAGUCCCCAGGGCAUGGUGGGUACAUCCUCGCUGGUAGUCGGGUGGGCGGCCCCCGAGGGGCAGGUCUGUGGGCUGUGCUUGUUCCUUUCGCGCUGCCUGAGCCCCUGCGCCUCUCUCUCCAUGGUCUCUGCCUCAUUGUGCAAAUUAACCUUUAUUGUUACGCCAGAUUAAUUACAAAACUGCAUCUGAUCCCCCAGCCCCAUCCCGGGGCACCGCCAGUGACGGCUCCCAACAGGGACUUGGAGGUGUUUGCCGCCUUUCCUCCCCCCAUUUCACUCCGGAGGGGCAUCCCCGUGGUGCAGCCUGUGUUAACUCUUCCCCUCCGCCUCCUUCUUAACCCCCCCCCGCCCCCCGCAUGCAGGAAAGCCUGUGCGGUUUCCUCCCGAGGAGGGAUGAACACCUCAUAGGGAGGACUUUUCCUUGAAAGGAUCCCACCCACAUGGAAACACGAGAGACCUUCUGAGGAACACUCCUGAUUCAAAAAAGAUGUAGUCUCCCUACGGAUUUCUAGCCAACAGCGUGCUGUCUCCUACACAGGUGUUAGUCUGGUCCCGCCUAGAUGACACUUGGUGUCUGGUGGGAGCACGGCUCAGUGAGCCUCUUCUGAUGCAGCGCAGUUGGUGUCAGCUGUCGUCAGCUGUUAUCUCCUAUAAUAAAAGUCUGCUUGUCUUCCCACCGA